rnacentral:rRNA from 1 species
UACCAGCACCCCGAGUGGUCGGGACGUUUUUAUUGGGCCUAAAGCAUCCGUAGCCGGUUCUACAAGUCUUCCGUUAAAUCCACCUGCUUAACAGAUGGGCUGCGGAAGAUACUAUAGAGCUAGGAGGCGGGAGAGGCAAGCGGUACUCGAUGGGUAGGGGUAAAAUCCGUUGAUCCAUUGAAGACCACCAGUGGCGAAGGCGGCUUGCCAGAACGCGCUCGACGGUGAGGGAUGAAAGCUGGAGGAGCAAACCGG